UACGUAGGGAGCAAGCGUUGUCCGGAAUCAUUGGGCGUAAAGCGCGCGUAGGCGGCCCUGUAAGUCCGCUGUGAAAGUCAAAGGCUCAACCUUUGAAAGCCGGUGGAUACUGCAGGGCUAGAGUCCGGAAGAGGCGAGUGGAAUUCCUGGUGUAGCGGUGGAAUGCGCAGAUAUCAGGAAGAACACCCGUGGCGAAGGCGGCUCUCUGGAACGCAACUGACGCUGAGACGCGAAAGCGUGGGGAGCAAACAGG
rnacentral:rRNA from 1 species